UCUCUCCACCCAACCUACGAUUCUAGAGUUAAGGACACCGGUGUUCCCGCUCCUCGCGUUCCUCCAGUCUCACGUGUUCCUCCUGCCUGCCGCCCCCACCACGCGCCUGCCCCUAAAACCCUACGCGCAACUGCCGUCAGCAAUGGCUGGCCUCCUGCGGCUCGCCGGCGCCACCCAAUCCCUUUCCCUCUCCCGCCGCGCGCUCGCCCCGCACCCCACCCCGGCCCCGCCGCACCGGAGGUUCGCGGCCUCGGCGGCUGCCGUGGUGGAGGACUACUGGACCGAGUGGGAGGAGGAAGAGGAGGACGCGCGUCGCCGCGUAUCCGCGCCGGCCACGGAAUCGGACCCCGCCGGCGAGGGGCCCAGGGGCGUGCAGUGGGUGGUGAUGGGUCGCCCGGGACCGCAGAAGCAUGCCCACGCCGCGCACCUCACGGAGGUGCUCGACGUGCCGUACAAUGUUAUGAUCCAAGCCAUCAUCGACGUCUGAUCUUGUAACUCAGAAGCAGACAUGAAUUACAUCAUCGGCGCCUUCAAGCCGCCGUGCGACAUCUUCGUCACCUUCUCCGAUGAGAGGAGCCAGAAGCAGGUGCUAGUAAAGAAGGACAACGGGUAGACGGCCAUGGUGCCGGCCUUCCAGAGCCUGGAGAACAUAGCCGGAGAGGUGUCUAUCGUGCUGGUUCCUGGUAAAAGGCUCGAGCACACGGGUGUAAAGAUCGAGCUGCUGGGUCAGAUAG